GCCUACGGCCAGACUGGGCUGAUCACACCCGAUCCUGUCUGAUCUCAGAAGCUAAGCAGUCCCAGGCCCGGCUAGUACCUGGAUGGGAGACCGCCUGGGAAUCCCGGGUGCCGUAAGCC
rnacentral:rRNA from 1 species